AACGAACGCUGGCGGCGUGCCUAACACAUGCAAGUCGAACGAGAAAGGGGCUUCGGCUCCGAGUAAAGUGGCGCACGGGUGAGUAACACGUGGGUAACCUGCCUCUAAGAUUGGGAUAACUCGUCGAAAGAUGAGCUAAUACCGAAUAAGACCACAGUUCCCGCGGGAACAGGGGUCAAAGGUAGCCUCUGCUUGCAAGCUAUCACUUAGAGAUGGGCCUGCGCACCAUUAGCUAGUUGGUAGGGUAACGGCCUACCAAGGCAAAGAUGGUUAGCUGGUCUGAGAGGAUGAUCAGCCACACUGGAACUGAGACACGGUCCAGACGCCUACGGGAGGCAGCAGUGGGGAAUAUUGCGCAAUGGGCGAAAGCUUGACGCAGCAACGCCGCGUGAGUGAUGAAGGCCUUCGGGUCGUAAAGCUCUGUCGGGAGGAACGAAUGCUCCUGAGGUUAACAGCCUCGGGAGGUGACGGUACCUUCAAAGGAAGCACCGGCUAACUCUGUG
rnacentral:rRNA from 1 species